CCGGCUACGGAUGGCCAUGCGGCGCAUUAGCUAGUCGGCGGGGUAACGGCCCACCGAGGCAACGAUGCGUAGGGGUUCUGAGAGGAAGGUCCCCCACACUGGUACUGAGACACGGACCAGACUCCUACGGGAGGCAGCAGUGAGGAAUAUUGGUCAAUGGGCGAGAGCCUGAACCAGCCAAGUCGCGUGAGGGAAGACGGUCCUAUGGAUUGUAAACCUCUUUUGUCGGGGAGCAAAAAGGCCUCGUGAGGCCCAAGUGAGAGUACCCGAAGAAAAAGCAUCGGCUAACUCCGUGCCAGCAGCCGCGGUAAUACGGAGGAUGCGAGCGUUAUCCGGAUUUAUUGGGUUUAAAGGGUGCGUAGGCGGACUGGAAAGUCAGCGGUAAAAUCGAGAGGCUCAACCUCUUUCCGCCGUUGAAACUGUCGGUCUUGAGUGGGCGAGAAGUAUGCGGAAUGCGUGGUGUAGCGGUGAAAUGCAUAGAUAUCACGCAGAACUCCGAUUGCGAAGGCAGCAUACCGGCGCCCGACUGACGCUGAGGCACGAAAGCGUGGGUAUCGAACAGGAUUAGAUACCCUGGUAGUCCACGCAGUAAACGAUGA
rnacentral:rRNA from 1 species